rnacentral:rRNA from 1 species
AUACGGAGGGGGUUAGCGUUGUUCGGAAUUACUGGGCGUAGAGCGCACGUAGGCGGAUUGGAAAGUUGGGGGUGAAAUCCCAGGGCUCAACCCUGGAACUGCCCCCAAAACUAACAGUCUAGAGUUCGAGAGAGGUGAGUGGAAUUCCAAGUGUAGAGGUGAAAUUCGUAGAUAUUUGGAGGAACACCAGUGGCGAAGGCGGCUCACUGGCUCGAUACUGACGCUGAGGUGCGAAAGCGUGGGGAGCAAACAGGAUUAGAAACCCCAGUAGUCC